GGGGACACGCACUGACCUCUACUCAUCUGGAUUUGGGGACUUGGGACCCUGAGGCUGGAGGACAAGGCCAAGUGCAGGGGAAGAAAACAGAGGAGGAUGGAGCUGGAGAGCAACAGGAGAGACUGAUCCCCUUUCUGUCUUCCCAGGCCUUGCUUUUGCUGCCCCUGCUUGCUGUCCGUGCUAUGAUUUCUCCAGCUCCAAAUGAGCCCCUGGGGACAGCAGUAAACACAACAGGGUAAGAGCAAGAGCCAGCGAUAGCCCUUGGGGAAGAUGGAGCAGAAAACCCUGGUGACAGUCAUUCCUUGUCCCAUCAGCCAGCCAUGCCACCCACACCCUCGAGUCUCCUACUCUCUAAAGCUCUUCUUGGAGGCUAGGCUCUCCCAGCAUCUAAUCCAGAGCAGAGGGCCUGGAAGAUAGACUUGCGAUGGUUCCUCGGAUCUCUUUGUUCUUUUCAAUGUGAUCACUGCAUCUCUACGGCCAGCCCCAAGGGACCUGAUGAACUGGUUAUCUGGCAUCUGUGAGGCCACCUAGAAGGCCACCCACCUAGAAGACCACCCGCUGACCACCGGAAACUAUGUGUCCAUGCUCUGGGUCGCCUUAUAAGAAAACUCAAAGCACCUCCUUUCUCUCUCUCUCUCUCUCUCUCUCUCUCUCUCUCUCUCUCUCUCUCUCUCUCUCUCUCCUCGUCCGGAGACGAUCUCUGGGACCCCUUCCCCUUCCCCUAAUAAACCUACUACGUGAAA